CUCUCUGUAGCUCAGUUGGUUAGAGCUUGACAACUGUUUCUCUGUAGCUCAGUAGGUUCGAUUCCUACCAGGGACU